ensembl:lncRNA
AAAGAAGAGCUGGUUUGCACAAGGUGGUUGCUCAAUGGAAAGGUCUUGCCUGCAGAGGUGUCCGGGAAGAUACAAGCAGAAGUCAGCAUGGCUGUUUUCAGAGCUGCUUGUUGGAAGGCAGGCCUUGCCCUCGUAGAAGAGAGAGUUAACAUGGACGAGUGGGAUGAAAACUGCUGAAUUGUGACUAGGUUAGGAGGGUUGGAGAACUUUCUAGGCUCUCAGCCAGCCCUGGGCUUCUAGUGGAAGCAUUUCACAAUCUCCUCCUUUCUCUGCGGGUUAUGUCCUCGGAUUGAACAGUCUUUGGGGGCUUUUCGGGCGCUGUGCUAAGUAUUAUCUUAGUUCCUCUUCACGAAAGCCCUUCACUCUUAGCAUCACUUUGUAAAUGAAGAACAUGAGGUUCAGAGAGGUUAAGUAACUUUCCCAAGGCCACCCUGCAGAGAACUGUGGUCCCAUAUCGACAACUGCCAAGACCUGGAAGCACCCUGAGUGCUCGUCAGUGGAAGAGUGGGUAGAGAAGAUUCGACAUGUGCAUGGGAGCAUUGCUUUCAGCCAAACAAGGGAGAAGUUCAACCGUUUGCAACAACAUGGAUGGAACUAGAGGGCAUUGUGCUGCAUGAAGUACGUCAGACAGAAAGAGACAAGUACUGUAUGGUCUCACUUAUACAUGGACUCUAAAAACGCCAAACUACAGAAACAGAGACUAGAAUGACGGUUAUCAGGGGCUGGGGGUGGUCCAGCAGCGCAACCUUCUAGUCAUAAAAUGAGUAAGGUUUUUGAGGAUCUAAUGUACCACCUUGUGUUCUAGUAAAUAAUAUCGUUAUGCACUUGAAAGCGGCGAAGCGAGUAGAUUUUUGUACUACAAGAAGGACAUGGUAAUUCUGUGUCAUGAUAUAGAUGUCAAUGUAUGCUUUGAUGGUAAUAAUUUUGCAAUAUAUAAAUGUAUCAAAUCAACCUGUAGCUUACACAAUGUUGUAUGUAAAUUAUAUCUCAAUAAAGCUGGAAACGAAAAGCAGUGAGGGUGGGAGUGAGAGAAUUUGGUGUGGAACAUAUGGAGUAUAAACUGCCUGCUGGAUGUGAAAAUGAAGAUAUCCAAAAGGCAAUUAGAAGAUGGUUCUGAAAGCUAAGAAGUGAGAGAUGGAUAUGUGCAC